rnacentral:rRNA from 1 species
UACGUAGGGCGCAAGCGUUGUCCGGAAUUAUUGGGCGUAAAGAGCUCGUAGGUGGCUUGUCGCGUCUGCCGUGAAAACCCGGAGCUCAACUCCGGGCCUGCAGUCGAUACGGGCGGACUUGAGUGUUGCAGGGGAGACUGGAAUUCCUGGUGUAGCGGUGAAAUGCGCAGAUAUCAGGAGGAACACCGGUGGCGAAGGCGGGUCUCUGGGCAACUACUGACGCUGAGGAGCGAAAGCGUGGGGAGCGAACAGG